rnacentral:rRNA from 1 species
AAGCUCGUAGUUGAAUUUCGAGACCGGCUUACUGGUCGUGCUUUUGUACGUACUGGUGUAAUCGGUUUCUCCUUUCUGACGAACUAUAAUGCCAUUAAUUUGGUGUUAUAGGGAAUCAGGACUGCUACUUUGAAAAAAUUAGAGUGUUUAAAGCAGGCUCACGCUUGAAUACAUUAGCAUGGAAUAACGGAAUAGGACGUUUGAUUCUAUUUUGUUGGUUUCUAGGAUCGGCGUAAUGAUUAAUAGGGAUAGUUGGG